rnacentral:SRP_RNA from 1 species
CGUGCGGGUAGGGCCGGGGACUCGCCAAUCCCCCUAGCCCGUAACGGGCUAGCCCGAAGGCGCCACGCGGGGGCCAGUAAUCCGAGAACCUAGAGGGCAGAGAGUAGAGCCACCGGGGGGUUAAAGAGCAAUGAUACUCGUCCCGCGGGGCUCACAGAGACGGGGAUCCCGCUGGAGAGCGAGACUCUACCGUCUUAGCCGAGGAAACCUGGCCAGGCCCGGAAGGGAGCAACCUAGCCUCGGAUGUGGGCGUUCGCGGGGGCGCGGGUUGAGCUCUCCCCGAGUAGGCUCUACUUUCUAGCCUCUAGGUCCUCGGAGUCCGCACG